rnacentral:rRNA from 1 species
UGGCCUUGACAUAGUAGAGACUUUCCAGAGAUGGAUUGGUGCCUUCGGGAAUCUACAUACAGGUGCUGCAUGGCUGUCGUCAGCUCGUGUCGUGAGAUGUUGGGUUAAGUCCCGCAACGAGCGCAACCCUUUCCUUACUUGCCAGCAUUUCGGAUGGGAACUUUAAGGAUACUGCCAGUGACAAACUGGAGGAAGGCGGGGACGACGUCAAGUCAUCAUGGCCCUUACGGCCAGGG